AUUUCCAAAAUGUUCCAGCUUUCAGGGACCCCAGAGCUUACCUUGUUGGGUCCCUGCAUGUGACAGCUGAGGAGUCUGAGGCUCAGAGUGGUCUAGGCACUCGCCCUGGGUCACACAGAGGGUUGAAACAGAGCUCAGAAAGGGAACUGGGGCCCCUGACUCCCCCUUUCUGACUGCUCUGCUGACCUGGGGGCUGGAGCUGGACCGGGCCCUGCUUCCUCUCUUGGGGUCAGUGGUAAGGGAGCCCAUCUGCCCCAGCCGGGCCCCCAUCACUCCUCUCCCCCCAGAGGCACCACUUUGCUCAGGCCAUCGCCAUCCUCAACACCCACGGCUGCAACAUCUUUGAUCAUUUCUCCCGGAAGGACUAUCAGCGCAUGCUGGAUCUGAUGCGGGACAUCAUCUUGGCCACAGACCUGGCCCACCAUCUCCGCAUCUUCAAGGACCUCCAGAAGAUGGCUGAGGUGGGCUACGACCGAAACAACAAGCAGCACCACAGACUUCUCCUCUGCCU
rnacentral:sRNA from 1 species